rnacentral:rRNA from 1 species
CAGCCCUAAACGAUGCGCGUUAGGUGUAUCGGUGACCACGAGUCACCGAGGUGCCGAAGGGAAACCGUGAAACGUGCCGCCUGGGAAGUACGGUCGCAAGGCUGAAACUUAAAGGAAUUGGCGGGGGAGCACCACAAGAGGUGGAGGCUGCGGUUCAAUUGGACUCAACGCCGGGAAGCUCACCGGAUAAGACAGCGGAAUGAUUGCCGGGCUGAAGACUCUGCAUGACUAGCUGAGAGGUGGUGCGAUGGCGUAGAC